rnacentral:rRNA from 1 species
CCUACGGGUGGCAGCAGUCGAGAAUCAUUCACAAUGGGGGAAACCCUGAUGGUGCGACGCCGCGUGGGGGAAUGAAGGUCUUCGGAUUGUAAACCCCUGUCAUGUGGGAGCAAAUUAAAAGGAUAGUACCACAAGAGGAAGAGACGGCUAACUCUGUGCCAGCAGCCGCGGUAAUACAGAGGUCUCAAGCGUUGUUCGGAAGCACUGGGCGGAAAGCGUGCGUAGGCUGUUUCGUAAGUCGUGUGUGAAAGGCGCGGGCUCAACCCGCGGACUGCACAUGAUACUGGGAGACUAGAGUAAGGGAGGGGGAAGUGGAAUUCUCGGUGUAGGAGUGAAAUGCGUAGAUAUCGAGAGGAACACUCGUGGCGAAGGCGGGUUCCUGGACAUUAACUGACGCUGAGGCACGAAGGCGAGGGGAGCGAAAGGGAUUAGAUACCCCUGUAGUC